GGAAUGCAGCAGAGCCAGCCAAUAAUAGAAUCCAGCUGUCCUGGAUCCCAAUUCAGUUCCUCACCCAGUUUGGGGCAGGAGAGUAGGAAAGAUCUGUCCUGGAAUAUGCAAUUAUUUUGAUGUGGCCUUCAGGGGAACCCCCUACACACCAGCGAAGUGCCUCUAGCAGAUAAGAAAACAAAGAGAAAGGAGGACAUGUUUUGAGAGCUCUGGUCCUGAAACAACACCUCCGGUUCCUGAUACUAUAAAGAAGAUGGAAAGCAGAAACACAUCAAUCAUUCAACAAAGAGGCUUGUCAAGGAGGAGGCACUUUCCUUUUGUAGGAUUUUCUUCUCAGCUGCCGCCCACAUGCAGCAUAUCAGAAGAUAUUGCUGCAAAAUCUCAGAUAUCCAUCAGAUUUUUUGUCUGUGCUCUCUCCAUAAUUAGUGCCUACGCUUAAUUUAUUUGUCGAGUGCCCAUUCGGGGAAUGGAUGUGAGUG